AGGCUUAGAAGUGUGGACGCCAGUCUGCAUGGAGCCGACCUUGAAAUACCACCCUUUAAUGUUUGAUGUUCUAACGUUGACCCGUAAUCCGGGUUGCGGACAGUGUCUGGUGGGUAGUUUGACUGGGGCGGUCUCCUCCUAAAGAGUAACGGAGGAGCACGAAGGUUGGCUAAUCCUGGUCGGACAUCAGGAGGUUAGUGCAAUGGCAUAAGCCAGCUUGACUGCGAGCGUGACGGCGCGAGCAGGUGCGAAAGCAGGUCAUAGUGAUCCGGUGGUUCUGAAUGGAAGGGCCAUCGCUCAACGGAUAAAAGGUACUCCGGGGAUAACAGGCUGAUACCGCCCAAGAGUUCAUAUCGACGGCGGUGUUUGGCACCUCGAUGUCGGCUCAUCACAUCCUGGGGCUGAAGUAGGUCCCAAGGGUAUGGCUGUUCGCCAUUUAAAGUGGUACGCGAGCUGGGUUUAGAACGUCGUGAGACAGUUCGGUCCCUAUCUGCCGUGGGCGCUGGAGAACUGAGGGGGGCUGCUCCUAGUACGAGAGGACCGGAGUGGACGCAUCACUGGUGUUCGGGUUGUCAUGCCAAUGGCACUGCCCGGUAGCUAAAUGCGGAAGAGAUAAGUGCUGAAAGCAUCUAAGCACGAAACUUGCCCCGAGAUGAGUUCUCCCUGACCCUUUAAGGGUCCUGAAGGAACGUUGAAGACGACGACGUUGAUAGGCCGGGUGUGUAAGCGCAGCGAUGCGUUGAGCUAACCGGUACUAAUGAACCGUGAGGCUUAACCUUACAACGCCGAAG
rnacentral:rRNA from 1 species